UAUCUAAAAAAUGAUACUGAUCUAUGUGUCACUCAGAAAAUAUUCACAUCUACAUAGAUAAAAAGUAUUAAUUUUUUUGUUUUGUUUUACAAGGUUUGAAAACACUACAAGAUCCUCGAAGCCGUAUGUGUACUCGGUAGCAAAAAUCGAAGACGAUCCUGAGAGUGGAAAAUUCUGGUUCCUUUAUUCCAUCGACGCUUCAAAUAUUACAACACUUAUAAAUCAAAGUCCAGUUGAAUACAUGCCUAAAAACAACGAGCAUAUGGUUAUGUGGUACAAAAAAGCACACUGGUCCAUGGAAUAGAUCUCUCAGUCAAAAAACUGAUUUUUCUCUCAAGAAGUUCGCAUUAGACUCACCUCACAAUUUGUCGGAAACUCCAUGAAUGGCGACAUUUUUACGAUAGUUGUGACACGAAAGAUAUUAUGUAAAAUAAAAUAAAAAGUGAAUAAUUUUUUAACUCGUUGUGAAAAAAAGAAAUUCAAAGUAAUCUUCAUAACAUGUUUAUAGCAUAUUAUACAGGAUAUUAUGAAAAUUUUGAAUAAUUAUGUUACAUUUUGUAUAAAUAUUGUAAAGUAACCAAUGUUUCAAAAAUGAGUGACAAUUUGAGAAAAGAUUUUUAAAAAAAAGAAAGAAAGAAAGAAAUCUAUGCAUGUACGACUGGCUGCUUUCUCUCUGUAGGAAACAAAUUGUUUCUAACCAAUUUUCAAAGUUAGUAACAAAUCUUACUAACAGAUGACACUACUUAUUGGAAAAGGAAGGGAACAAUUUAUCAGUCUUUUCUGCUGCAAUACAACUGAAUUACUUGCUUGGGCAUCUAUUAAUCUUGUUCUCAGAUUAUGCCAUGUUGUUGCUGCACAUUGUGGAUUAAUUUAAGAGCGUUGUUUCGUAGCCUCUUUUUUUCUUUUCUUCUUAUUAGCAGUACCACUAGUUCACGAGUUUUUUUGACUCAAUUUGAAAAUACCUUCUAAAGAGCACAUCAUUUGCAUAUCUAUGUUAAAAUGCCUGUUGUGUGCAUAUUUUUGUUAUGUAUACUAUAUCCGUUUGAAUUUAUGCUGUUGCUUACUGUACAUUAAAAUAUACAUACGUGCA